AGUAACGGCGAGUGAAGCGGUAACAGCUCAAAUUUGAAAGCUAGCUCUUUUAGGGUUCGCAUUGUAAUUUGUAGAAGAUGCUUCGGGUGUGGCCCCGGUCUAAGUUCCUUGGAACAGGACGUCAUAGAGGGUGAGAAUCCCGUAUGUGACUGGGUGCUUUCGCUCAUGUGAAGCUCUUUCGACGAGUCGAGUUGUUUGGGAAUGCAGCUCAAAAUGGGUGGUAAAUUUCAUCUAAAGCUAAAUAUUGGCCAGAGACCGAUAGCGCACAAGUAGAGUGAUCGAAAGAUGAAAAGCACUUUGGAAAGAGAGUUAAACAGUACGUGAAAUUGUUGAAAGGGAAGCGCUUGCAACCAGACUUGCGCGCUGAUGAUCAUCCGGGCUUCUGCCCGGUGCACUCGUCUGCGCUCAGGCCAGCAUCGGUUUCGGUGGUGGGAUAAAGGCCUUGGGAAUGUAGCUUCUUUCGGGGAGUGUUAUAGCCCUCGGUGCAAUGCCGCCUACCGGGACCGAGGACCGCGCUUCGGCUAGGAUGCUGGCGUAAUGGUUGUAAGCGACCCGUCUUGAAACACGGACCAAGGAGUCUAACAUCUAUGCGAGUGUUUGGGUGUCAAACCCAUACGCGUAAUGAAAGUGAACGGAGGUGAGAACCCUUAAGGGUGCAUCAUCGACCGAUCCUGAUGUCUUCGGAUGGAUUUGAGUAAGAGCAUAGCUGUUGGGACCCGAAAGAUGGUGAACUAUGCGUGAAUAGGGUGAAGCCAGAGGAAACUCUGGUGGAGGCUCGCAGCGGUUCUGACGUGCAAAUCGAUCGUCAAAUUUGCGUAUAGGG
rnacentral:rRNA from 1 species